rnacentral:rRNA from 1 species
UACGUAGGUGGCAAGCGUUGUCCGGAAUCAUUGGGCGUAAAGCGCGUGUAGGCGGUCCGGUAAGUCCGCUGUGAAAGUCGGGGGCUCAACCCUCGGAUGCCGGUGGAUACUGUCGGGCUUGAGUACGGAAGAGGCGAGUGGAAUUCCUGGUGUAGCGGUGAAAUGCGUAGAUAUCGGGAGGAACACCAGUGGCGAAGGCGACUACCUGGCCUGUUCUUGACGCUGAGGCGCGAAAGCUAGGGGAGCAAACGGG